UACGAAGGGUGCAAGCGUUACUCGGAAUUACUGGGCGUAAAGCGUGCGUAGGUGGUGCGUUAAGUCUGUCGUGAAAGCCCCCGGGCUCAACCUGGGAAUGGCGAUGGAUACUGGCGCGCUAGAGUGCGGUAGAGGAGAGUGGAAUUCCCGGUGUAGCAGUGAAAUGCGUAGAGAUCGGGAGGAACAUCAGUUGCGAAGGCGGCUCUCUGGACCAACACUGACACUGAGGCACGAAAGCGUGGGGAGCAAACAGG
rnacentral:rRNA from 1 species